rnacentral:rRNA from 1 species
GACACGGCCCAGACUCCUACGGGAGGCAGCAGUGGGGAAUCUUGCACAAUGCGCGAAAGCGUGAUGCAGCAACGCCGCGUGGGGGAAGAAGGCCUUCGGGUUGUAAACCCCUUUCAGUUGGGACGAAGCUUCGCCGGUUAAUAGCUGGCUGGAGUGACGGUACCUUCAGAAGAAGCCCCGGCUAACUACGUGCCAGCAGCCGCGGUAAUACGUAGGGGGCAAGCGUUGUCCGGAAUCAUUGGGCGUAAAGCGCGUGUAGGCGGUUCGGUAAGUCUGCUGUGAAAGUCCAGGGCUCAACCCUGGGAUGCCGGUGGAUACUGUCGGACUAGAGUACGGAAGAGGCGAGUGGAAUUCCCGGUGUAGCGGUGAAAUGCGCAGAUAUCGGGAGGAACACCAAUUGCGAAGGCAGCUCGCUGGGACGUCACUGACGCUGAGACGCGAAAGCGUGGGGAGCAAACAGGAUUAGAUACCCUGGUAGUCCACGCCGUAAACGAUGGGCACUAGGUGUGGGGGGUGUCGACUCCCUCCGUGCCGAAGCUAACGCAUUAAGUGCCCCGCCUGGGGAGUACGGCCGCAAGGCUAAAACUCAAAGGAAUUGACGGGGGCCCGC